rnacentral:rRNA from 1 species
GUGGGGAAUUUUGGACAAUGGGCGCAAGCCUGAUCCAGCCAUGCCGCGUGCGGGAAGAAGGCCUUCGGGUUGUAAACCGCUUUUGUCAGGGAAGAAAAGCUUCGGGCUAAUACCUCGGAGUCAUGACGGUACCUGAAGAAUAAGCACCGGCUAACUACGUGCCAGCAGCCGCGGUAAUACGUAGGGUGCAAGCGUUAAUCGGAAUUACUGGGCGUAAAGCGUGCGCAGGCGGUCAUGCAAGACAGAUGUGAAAUCCCCGGGCUCAACCUGGGAACUGCAUUUGUGACUGCAUGGCUAGAGUGCGGCAGAGGGGGAUGGAAUUCCGCGUGUAGCAGUGAAAUGCGUAGAUAUGCGGAGGAACACCGAUGGCGAAGGCAAUCCCCUGGGCCUGCACUGACGCUCAUGCACGAAAGCGUGGGGAGCAA